GAUGAACGCUGGCGGCGUGCUUAACACAUGCAAGUCGAACGAGCCUUCGGGCUAGUGGCGGACGGGUGAGUAACGCGUGGGAAUCUGCCCUCAGGAGGGGGAUAACGGCCGGAAACGGCCGCUAAUACCCCAUAUGCCGAGAGGUGAAAUGAAUUUCGCCUGAGGAUGAGCCCGCGUCUGAUUAGCUAGUUGGUGGGGUAAUGGCCCACCAAGGCGACGAUCAGUAGCUGGUCUGAGAGGAUGAUCAGCCACACUGGGACUGAGACACGGCCCAGACUCCUACGGGAGGCAGCAGUGGGGAAUUUUCCGCAAUGGGCGAAAGCCUGACGGAGCAACGCCGCGUGAGGGAUGAAGGCCUCUGGGCUGUAAACCUCUUUUCUCAAGGAAGAAGACAUGACGGUACUUGAGGAAUAAGCCACGGCUAAUUCCGUGCCAGCAGCCGCGGUAAUACGGGAGUGGCAAGCGUUAUCCGGAAUUAUUGGGCGUAAAGCGUCCGCAGGCGGCCUUGUAAGUCUGUCGUUAAAGCGUGGAGCUUAACUCCAUUUCAGCGAUGGAAACUACAAGGCUUGAGUGUGGUAGGGGCAGAGGGAAUUCCCGGUGUAGCGGUGAAAUGCGUAGAUAUCGGGAAGAACACCAGUGGCGAAGGCGCUCUGCUGGGCCAUAACUGACGCUCAUGGACGAAAGCCAGGGGAGCGAAAGGGAUUAGAUACCCCUGUAGUCCUGGCCGUAAACGAUGAACACUAGGUGUCGGGGGAAUCGACCCCCUCGGUGUCGUAGCUAACGCGUUAAGUGUUCCGCCUGGGGAGUACGCACGCAAGUGUGAAACUCAAAGGAAUUGACGGGGGCCCGCACAAGCGGUGGAGUAUGUGGUUUAAUUCGAUGCAACGCGAAGAACCUUACCAGGGUUUGACAUCCUGCGAAUCCCUUGGAAACGAGGGAGUGCCUUCGGGAGCGCAGAGACAGGUGGUGCAUGGCUGUCGUCAGCUCGUGUCGUGAGAUGUUGGGUUAAGUCCCGCAACGAGCGCAACCCACGUCUUUAGUUGCCAGCAUUCAGUUGGGCACUCUAGAGAGACCGCCGGUGAUAAACCGGAGGAAGGUGUGGAUGACGUCAAGUCAUCAUGCCCCUUACAUCCUGGGCUACACACGUACUACAAUGCUACGGACAAAGGGUUGCAAGCUCGCGAGAGUUAGCUAAUCCCAUAAACCGUGGCUCAGUUCAGAUCGUAGGCUGCAACUCGCCUACGUGAAGGAGGAAUCGCUAGUAAUCGCAGGUCAGCAUACUGCGGUGAAUACGUUCCCGGGCCUUGUACACACCGCCCGUCACACCAUGGAAGUUGGCCAUGCCCGAAGUCGUUACUCCAACCCUUGUGGAGGAGGACGCCGAAGGUGGGGCUGAUGACUGGGGUGAAGUCGUAACAAGGUAGCCGUACCGGAAGGUGCGGCUGGAUCACCUCCUA
rnacentral:rRNA from 1 species